AACGAACGCUGGCGGCAGGCUUAACACAUGCAAGUCGAACGCUCGUAGCAAUACGGGAGUGGCGGACGGGUGAGUAACGCGUGGGAACGUGCCCUGAGGUACGGAAUAACUGAGGGAAACUUCAGCUAAUACCGUAUGAGCCCCGAGAGGGGGAAAGAUUUAUCGCCUUGGGAGCGGCCCGCGUCGGAUUAGCUAGUUGGUGGGGUAACGGCCUACCAAGGCUUCGAUCCGUAGCUGGUCUGAGAGGACGAUCAGCCACACUGGGACUGAGACACGGCCCAGACUCCUACGGGAGGCAGCAGUGGGGAAUCUUGCGCAAUGGGGGCAACCCUGACGCAGCCAUGCCGCGUGAACGAUGUAGGCCUUAGGGUUGUAAAGUUCUUUUACCCGUGACGAUGAUGACGGUAACGGGGGAAUAAGCUCCGGCUAACUCGUGCCAGCAGCCGCGGUAAU
rnacentral:rRNA from 1 species